GAGUGUAUAUAGAUUUGUAAGAAUCUUCACCCGCAAAGAUUGAUAAGCAUAAAAAAUGCUUUCUAGCCACUAUGGUGCUCACACUUAAUUAAAAAAAAUUUGGUAGGUACAUAUAUUAGAUAGUAAAAAGGUGCAAAAUAUUUAAUGAGUAAAUUUUACACAUUAGAGCUCCACCUCACCACGGCAAUUUUCUCUAUGCAUUACAAGGCCUUGCCAUAAGAACCUUAAGAGAAUGUCUCUGCUCUGAACAACAAACUUGAAACCAAGAAAAAAAAAGUAAUAUAAUAUAUAUAUAAAUAUCAAUUACCUUAUAUAAGUAAUAUAGUGACUUCUUUUGUUGUGUGUUGCGGGUAUAUAUAAUAAAAUAAAACUUGGGACAUUGAUUUUAAGUUACCAAGUAGUUGAGUAAAACUGCAGUAACACUUCCUUUCAAUAAUACUACUUGACCUCGGCAAUUUUGUCAACCAUCUUUGCCAGUACAAGUAUACUUUUUUUUUGAGAAUUAAAAUGCUGUAGAGGGGAUCCGAGCCGGUGUAUGUGUACUUUUUUAUAGGAGGACUUCCAAUUUAGAGUUCCAUCAAGCAACCAGAAGAGCUAAAAUACUAGCAUUUAACACCACUAAUUGACUCCCAGGUACGAAUCAUUGCCACUUAAGUGCAGUAACCUAGCACAUAGAGACAGACUACCAAUAUCUGGCGCUAGCAUACAGCAGCAAGGCAUGGAAGAGGAGGGAGAUUAGGUCCUCCAACAUGUGCUCCGUCGACACAAACCAAGCUUGUCCAUCGGAGUUAGUCACGUGUCCAAAUGGAAAAUAAUGCAUAGUCUAAUGUCUUUUCAGAGAUCAAGAAGAACAGAACCAGGGAAAAGAUAGAAAUCAAGCCUCAUUAUUCAAUUCACCCUAAUUGUAAGGGAAUAGAGCAGCGCCUACUCAGAUGCAGGUCUAAAUGUUAAUACAUCUGUCAGUUGGACAAUGAAUAUUAUCCUACCAGAAGAACUCGAAAAGCUGGAUUCAGCAUGGGACUAGUAGCUGAAGGAAAAAAGAUCAACAUAAUCAAGAAGAGAAGUAGGAAAAACUUCUGGUAAUUUCUUCUUCUUCUAUUCAAAAAGGAAGGAUUGGGAGCAGCUAAUAGAGUCUGGGAACCAAAACAGCAAGCCCCAGAUCAUGGCACACUUCAUUAAUAGGGGUCGGGUAAUUACAUGCUGUCGAGGAGUAAAGAAGAAAUGGUACCAAAACUACUAAAAACAGAGGCACCAUAAUUUGGGAAAACAGUAGUCUGUUCAGUCCUGCUCUGCCACAAAGGUUACUAUACCUUCAAGAUGUUACUCUUUUUUAUACCAUGCUUAAGGAAUAGUUUCUUUGUUCCAACAAGAAGAGUACUUCUAAAACCUGUAUUGACCAGUUCAGAACCUGGACUACCCAUACCCACCAUUGGGGUGUCGAAAAAACACCACCAACCCUUAAAGAGUUCCCGGUCCAAAUCACUAGCAUCCUACGCGGACAACCUGUGGAAUAGGCUACAUGAAGAAAGUAAGUGCAUGAGGACUCCACAUCAUUUGAACAUGAAAAACAUAAAGUAUCAUAUAGCAGACUUCUGGAGCAUCUUUGACAUUCUUCUAGGUCAAUGGCCAUACUACUAAGAUGUCGGCAUGGAAAAGCAUCCACAAGAAGUGGCUAGUUUUAACUUCAGACUGUAAAACAAAACAUUUGAUGUACAGCAUAUCAACCGCCAGCAAAUAUCAUACAGGAGAGCAAGCUAAUCCUUCUAUAGACCCCUUCACUGACAAGAUGUAGUGCCAGAUUCACCAACACCGUUUCAGAGAGCCCUAAUUUUUCAAGGGUGGACGUAAGAGAUUCAUAUGGAUGUUGGACAGUCAGUUCAAAAUUUAGAGUGGUCAAUAUCAUCUGUUCAGCCUCAGUAAUGCGUUCACGGUACUGCUCAAACCAGUCCACGGGUAGAAAAUAUGAAAGAACUGCAAGAUCCUGCUUGUGAAAAAUUUCACAUGAGGCCUUCAGAACAUUGUUGAGAGGCCGUGCAGUCUCUUCUGACUUUGCCGCAAGAAAGAGAGCAGCAGUAGCAAUCAAAAAUCUGUCAUGACAUGCAUGUGAUCGCCUCACAAAGAAGCGGUGACACAGAACCAUGGCAGUUCCUAUAGUGGUCUGUGGCAGGUCCAAGCGAAUUCCAAGGUUCUGAAGGAAAGCACAAUAUGAGUAUCGAAGAUGUGCUUCAUGCAUUGCAUCAAUACCAUCUUUCCUGGAUGGAGAGCAUUUCUCAAUUUCCUCUUUGGACAUAAAGAUAUUAUCAGUUUCAGUAUCUUCAAGCCAUGAGCGGUCACGCUUCGAACAUGUGGGUGCGCUUGCAUCAGAACGAGGUUUAGAAGUAGUGGCAGAAUUAUUGUUACGGACUGGAUAGGCAUCAUCAUAAGCUCUGGAAUUCCUUAAAGGCACGUUAUAGCAUGUGCUUUGUCGCUUUGAAGGAACAUCAUUACAUGCAUAGGGUGCUUGAGAGUACCUGCCACUGCUUUCCCAACCAGAAGUUGAGCACCUCCUCCUCUUCGAAGAAGGUUCAGCCUCAGGCUUUAUGAGAUUAUCAUAACCGUAGCUAUACUCGCUAAAAUUUCUACCCACGUCAUGGGAACUAUUAGAGUUGAAAAAAUGGGUAUCAACAGUGUUAUAAUUGUUGUAAGCGGAGGAAUGGACCAUUCCUCUACUCUGGUUCCUGCCAUAAAAAGACCUGGAGUCUCCACGAAAAGGGCCACCCUGUGAAAAGUAGGUCUGGGCGAGAGCCAUGGUUCCUUAAUAUCGCAAGAAAAAAGAGAUCGAAAGACUCCGUUUUGGAUCGGAAGAAUCGGCGAAUUUCACAAUUAAUAAUGAGGUGAUGGAAAAUAGUUACAGGUGAUUGCUUGAGAUUAGGGUUUGGUGAAUUGGUGAAGAUGGAAAACAAAGAGAAUGAGAGAGGAGAGAAUAAUUGGGU
rnacentral:misc_RNA from 1 species